UGAAAUCAAGUGAAAGUUUAUCCUUUAUCACCUGAGGAGGAGAAAGGCUUGUUUAAAACAGCAGCAACAGUGAGACAGGAGUGAAUGACACAGCAUUAUGAGCUGGGACGACUUUGACUGGAACUAAUGAAACACCAGCAGAGUUUAUAAGAGGUUUAUAAGAGACUAAAAGUUAUUAGAUAAUAUAUAAAAUGCUAAAAUACAUUUUAGCACUAAGUUAUAUGAAGUAAUGUUACAUUUUUUUCACUAGGGCCCAUUAAAAAAGGCCAGAAUGGGAUAUUCUAAACAGAAAAAGUGCUUAUUAUAAAAAAAAAAAAAUUACAAGUUUUUUAGAUUUUUAUAGCUUUUAUUCAAAAGUUGAAAUUUUCUAAUACUAUGGAGAAAACAAAAUAUAUUUUAGUUAAAGCAUUAUAAUCAGGUGAAAUGCAUAAAGUAGAAUAAAUGAAAUUAUCAAACAAAACACAGAAAUUAAAGGAAAAGUUCAGAAAGUCAAAGCAGUUGAACAUUUUAGACUUUCAUUUGAAAUAUUCAAAUCAUGGAAGUGGAAAUUCAGAGGUAGCAAAGGGUGGGAGGUAGGGGUGGAGCAACCAAAUGAUAUGUAAAGCGAACUACAUCACUGAAUAUGUUAACAAAAAAACAGUAAAACAAGUUGCACCUGGAUGAUAACCAGUUCCAGGGCCUAAAUAUCACAGUGGCUCGGCUGGACCCCGGCUGCUCUGAGGGGCCAAUUAGCUUGCGUUGAGAUAAGGCCAGGAGUUAAAUAAGGUUUUGGGUUUCCCCCCCGCCAUUGUUUUCUCACAAAGACAGCAACUAUUGAUUAAGGGCCAGGCUGGUUUACCUAUCGGGUUGUUCACUUCACAGCAGAGUCACAUUCCAGCAAAGAGGGCAGAGUUACCUGAUCACGCCUCGCUACCAGCAGGCAAAGAAGCGUGGGUCGCCGUUCAGACUCCCACAACCCUGAGCACCGCGAGCAACAAUUGGGCAAAAAACAAGCAAGGAGAAAAAAAAGGCAGAAAAUAGCCAUGAUCGGGAGAGGAAGUUUUUGGACGAAAGGAGGACAAACUGAUAGGACGUAUGAGUCGAAUGAUACGAACAAGCUCCACUUUGUUCAGAGGGGCCUGCAGUGCUGGUUUAUAAUGCUGAUGAUUAACUAACUAAGAGUCUGGGAGAGCAUGUCUGCUUGACUUUCUCAUUUCAUGGGGGCCUGCCCGGCUGGAGGGAAGACGGAGCGUUCUCAAGCAGCCGGCUGGAAACUCAAGAUCUAUUUUCUCUCUCUGGCUCUCUGUCUUUCUUUUUCAGUCCCCUCCCUCUAAACAUGUUCUCUUUACUUUGGUUUUGUUUCAUUCUUUCCGUGGGGUACCUUUCACGACGGUAAGGUUACAGGUGCAUUCUCUGUUUUCCUUCUCCACCUUCUUUUCCCUGAAUUUUCCCUCCCUUAAAGCCUUGUCUUUAUCCCUCCCCCUCUCCUUGAGAAUCAGCUUUUAGACUCACAGGAUUAUUGAAACCUUUUUUUCUAAUUGAAGGCAGUAUUUAUGAUAUAAACUGACUUUAAUAAGUAAAUAAGGAUAAUUUUUGCAUGUUUGCUAAGGGAAAAAGGGAACAUAAGCGUAAAACCCGAUAAUGCUGGCACAGGGUGUGAGGACUUCACGCGUUGUACCUGUGAAAGAUCCGUGUUAUUCAGUAAACGAAGGCUGUUUCUAUGACCUUCUGCAUACACACCGUUGGCUCAGGUCGAGCCGAGCAGCAUUCCAUCGGCCUUUCAUCACACGGCAAACACAAAGACAACGGGGCAGAGAGGUCUGCCAACGAAAAAAAAAAGAGGGUGGAAAGGAAAAGACAGUUAUCCUUCUCUUUGAGCAUAUGUUGAGACAGACAUUUCUAAAGAAACCUGCUGCAGUUUAAACUCAAAGAGCUUUGCAUACAGUAAGCUAUGUAACCUAACCAGCUCCCUGCCGUUUGUCUAUAAACUUGGUGGCACUUUUGAAAUUACUUACAGCCAUGUAUUGUGUGAGAAGAAGCCCUCCCAACCUUAGUGGUGCCUUAGAUUUAGACUAGUCAGAACAGGUUUUGGCAAUCAUUAACAACCUCUGUGGCCCAGUCUUCUGUGACAGCAGGUUUAAGCGGUAAACCCCCAUCACAACACAGCUUCAGCAGUUACUCAGUGUUGGAGUGUUUCCCCCAUGUCUGUACGCUUCCUUCACCGACUGUAUUGGCUCGUGUGGCGCUUUGCUCUCACCCUUCCUGAUGGCGUCACGCUCUUCCAGUUAGACAGCGGAUGUCCAUGAUUAUCUUUCGGCCAUUUCAUGUCAGCCAGUCUUUGUCUUUAUGUAGCCCAGAAAAGUAAGAUAAAAAAAUGACACUGAGAUAAUCAAAGGUUGGAAAAGUGUGUCAUUUAAGGCUCUCUUCUUAGACAAAAGUAUAGUUAAACGAUACAUUUUGACAGGAAUUAAAGUUAAAUGCCUUACAGGUCAUGUUUAUAAACUCAAAAAUAGGUCAGGCAGACCAGUCUCUUCCAUUGCUGUUGUUUUUUUGUUUUGAACUAAAAAGUUUUCAGUUAAACUUUGGCUUUUUAAAAAAAGUCAGUUUCCAUUAACCUUAAAACAAUUAAACUAACAUCACCUCAUAUUAUUUAAAGCAUUUUUCCAUGUUUUCAGCCUUAAGCUCUGCUGCUAAUGUAAGCUUAGAUAGGGGAUGUGUUUGGGUGACUAUCUCCAUCUUACGAGGCAGCAUUGGAUAUCAUCCCUUUCUCUAAUACUGCCUGGUAAUGAUGAUGAUAAUCAUCUGCUGACUCCAACCAGACAAACAGCUUUCUGCAGAGUUAGCAGCGACCUGUUCCUCUUGAACCUCCGGGAUCCGGCCUGACGCUUGAGUGACGAUAGAAGUGGUUCUCAGGAUCCAUCUUACCUGACAGUGCUGGAUUGUACAACUGUUGUUCUAACACUGUCUGGUAACGAUGUUUCCUGGGUUUCUAUAUUUCUCCGAUUCCACUUGGGAGCAUUAUUUUUUACAUUAGAGGCUCAUGUCUAAAAGUAAACUUGGUACUUUUAAUUUUAGUGUAAUAAGUGUACUUUUGGUCUUGUGUUUAGGGUUAGGGUUAGUGCUGCAGAUACCCCCGGCCAUUUUACCUCGCAUUGUUGAUUGUUCAAACUAAAAAAGAAAGACAACAACAGAUAAUAGUUUAUGUAAAAAUACACAAACAUUUAGACCAAAAAGAGACUUUAUAACUGAGAAGAGAUGUCAAGCACAGUGUUUUUCCCCUCUGCUUGUCUCACAAGAAAAAACAACACAAAAAGCUGUUGUAGCAACCUCACCCCACCCAAGUUAAAGAAUAGCAGUCGGUUGAUGGUUCCACCGGUCCUGCAGGGCGACAUUUCCUUGUUCCCUCCCCUGAACAGCGUUAGUCUUUGUGCUGUAUAACAGUGAUUGGUCGGCAGAGCUUUACCUGCGUGGCACAUCCUGAAACGGACACAUGAGCUCACCUGAUGGUGGUUAAAGAGAGAGAGAAAAAAACUUGCUUCCUCUCAGACUCUCAAAGCCUUGUCUACAGGAAGAAAAUCAAGCAAAACCUGCUAACAACAGACUCCAAACAAACUUAAAGGGAUGAAAUUAGAGCUCUUGUUGGUAACUAAAAACUAAAAAGUAAUUGAGGAUGCAUUAUUGUUUUUUACGUGUCAUUAAAUCAUUAUCUUAUCUAGGCAGAGAUGUAGUAAUAAAGCCUCCGCACAGACAAAAAAAAAAAAAGAGUAGAGCAGGCAUAAACUCUGUGUUUGUUAAAGGAGGGAGAUAUACCCCCACAAAUAUUGAGCCACACCUUUAUUUGCCCACCAAGCUCUAUUAUCCAGGCCACAGGAAAAUGAAAUAACCUUUUUUUUCUGUUACAUGUCAUGUUUGUAUUGUUGCCACAUAUUUUGUAUUCAGCAGAAUGAUUUCAGCUAACCGAGCUUAACUCUCUUUGUGUUCCUCAGUCUGUUUACUUGUGCUUUUACUUACUUCUCUGCAUGCUCUACGAGUUCAAACGGACAUAAAGGGACAAAAAUAUAUUCUCCAGACAAAAAGGGGGCAAACCUGUUUCCACACUGUUCUGUUUCCUGCAGCUCUUCCUCUUUGUACAGAUGAACACUCAGAAGUCAUCCCUUCCAGCCUGUUGAUAGGCGUCUUACCAGACAUGGUUAGAUGUAAUUACUGGUGUCUAAUACUGUCUGGUAAUGCCGUCCAUUAAAUGGCGCUACCUUCUGCUCUCUUACUUCCCCUCCUCUUGCUCUGUGCAUCUGAAGUGCGUUGGUGUUGACAGAAGCCAAGCCUCUAAAAGCAAAAGAACGUCUAUACAGUUAGAGGCAUGUGGGGCUUAAUAAGGACGACUGUGGAACUGUGAUCCUUGCACUGGAAGUUGGAUUUAUUUCUUUUGGCUUCUUCCAUGUGUCAUGAGUCAAAGUUUCUCCUUUAAGCUGCUGUCCAGAGCAAGAUUGAUGCAUUUUACAUUCAGAAUGAUGUACAAUAACUUAACUUUAUUCGUUUUUCAUUAUAACAGCAACAACUUGUUUUUUUUUUUCAUUUUACCCAGAAAUGAUAUUUAUAGCUUUUAAAACCGUGGAGGUUGCAAUGCACAAAAUCUUUCUGUAAUUUCAAAUGUGAAAAUAUUUUUACAAUGUAAACUGGAACAUUUAAUAAAGGAGCUUAAAUUGUAAA